rnacentral:tRNA from 1 species
GAGGCCUUAGCUUAAUAAAAGUGUUUGAUUUGCAAUCAGAAGAUGUGAGUUAAUAUCUCACAGGUCUUA